rnacentral:rRNA from 1 species
UACGUAGGGUGCGAGCGUUGUCCGGAAUUAUUGGGCGUAAAGGGCUCGUAGGCGGUCUGUCGCGUCGAAAGUGAAAACUCAGGGCUUAACCCUGAGCCUGCUUCCGAUACGGGCAGACUAGAGGUAUGCAGGGGAGAACGGAAUUCCUGGUGUAGCGGUGGAAUGCGCAGAUAUCAGGAGGAACACCGGUGGCGAAGGCGGUUCUCUGGGCAUGACCUGACGCUGAGGAGCGAAAGUGUGGGGAGCGAACAGG